GAUGCCUUCAGCUGCCAAGCGCACAUGUAACAGGUCAGCCAGUGUCAUAGGGACAAAGCUGCUGACAGAUGGCCAUUAAAAUGUACACUACUUAAAGGGGUUGUUUGGUUUCCUCUUGGCCUGGCUAUAUUUACCUGGCUGCAAAAGUGAUAUCAUGUCAACAACACAUGACUUGCUGCAGCCAAUCACGUGUUGUGGACAUGACAUCACAGCUUCAGCCAGGGAAGAAGCGGAGCGACGGCUUGGGAUCUGUGAGGUAACCGCUUACCGAUUCUGUAUUUCAGGCAGAUGCUGGGGUUUGUCCACGGUCAGGUGAAUCUCUCCAACCAAUCAGUGGAGAGAGGAGUACUGUUUUGCAUACAGCCCAUCUCCUUCAUCGCACCCAGUAGUCAAAUG